rnacentral:rRNA from 1 species
AUUGAACGCUGGCGGAAUGCUUUACACAUGCAAGUCGAACGGCAGCACGGACUUCGGUCUGGUGGCGAGUGGCGAACGGGUGAGUAAUACAUCGGAACGUGCCCAGUCGUGGGGGAUAACGUAGCGAAAGCUACGCUAAUACCGCAUACGAUCUAAGGAUGAAAGCGGGGGAUCGCAAGACCUCGCGCGAUUGGAGCGGCCGAUGGCAGAUUAGGUAGUUGGUAGGGUAAAGGCCUACCAAGCCGACGAUCUGUAGCUGGUCUGAGAGGAUGAUCAGCCACACUGGGACUGAGACACGGCCCAGACUCCUACGGGAGGCAGCAGUGGGGAAUUUUGGACAAUGGGCGCAAGCCUGAUCCAGCCAUUCCGCGUGCAGGAUGAAGGCCUUCGGGUUGUAAACUGCUUUUGUACAGAACGAAAAGGCUCUGGUUAAUACCCGGGGCUCAUGACGGUACUGUAAGAAUAAGCACCGGCUAACUACGUGCCAGCCGCCGCCGUAA